rnacentral:rRNA from 1 species
GUAGGGAAUUUUGGGCAAUGGGCGAAAGCCUGACCCAGCAACGCCGCGUGUGGGAUGAAGGCCCUCGGGUCGUAAACCACUGUCAGGAGGAAAGAAAAGCCGACCGGGUAAUAUUCGGUCGGCCUGACGGUACCUCCAAAGGAAGCACCGGCUAACUCCGUGCCAGCAGCCGCGGUAAUACGGAGGGUGCAAGCGUUGUUCGGAAUUACUGGGCGUAAAGCGCGUGUAGGUGGUUGAGUAAGUCGAAUGUGAAAGCCCCGGGCUCAACCCGGGAAGUGCAUCCGAAACUGCUCGACUAGAGUCCCGGAGAGGAAGGCAGAAUUCCCAAUGUAGGGGUGAAAUCCGUAGAUAUUGGGAGGAAUACCGGUGGCGAAGGCGGCCUUCUGGACGGUGACUGACACUCAGACGCGAAAGCGUGGGGAGCAAACAGGAUUAGAUACCCCAGUAGUCC